AGUGGUGACGUCUACCAUAUCGUGAUGGCGGUAGCCUGGUCUCUUUUGAAUUCCGCCCAGCUUUUCGAAGUUUACGUUGCGUCCGGUUGGUGAAAUGUCACCGUUUUCUGUCGUAAACACACAAUAAGUGAAGCGUUAUAAUGGACUCCGUCGUGGGGGAUGACGUGACUCUGCCCGUUGACAUCAACGGAAGCUGCAGACUGCCAGACUCCAUAGAUGCUGGUGAUUAUUCUACAGACAGCAUGACAGCCCCGUCCUUUCCUGAUAAGAUGUCACCAAGCAAAGCGCUCACCAUGAAGGACUAUGAGAA